UGACAGUGGCCCCCACUUUCUCUAAC
rnacentral:piRNA from 1 species